rnacentral:rRNA from 1 species
UACGGGGGGAGCAAGCGUUGUUCGGAUUUACUGGGCGUAAAGGGCGCGUAGGCGGCCACCGCAAGUCGACUGUGAAAUCUCCGGGCUUAACCCGGAAAGGUCAGCCGAUACUGCGGGGCUAGAGUGCAGAAGGGGCAACUGGAAUUCCCGGUGUAGCGGUGAAAUGCGUAGAUAUCGAGAGGAACACCUGCGGCGAAGGCGGGUUGCUGGGCUGACACUGACGCUGAUGCGCGAAAGCUAGGGGAGCGAACGGG